rnacentral:miRNA from 1 species
UCAGGUACUGGAUGACUCUCAG